UUUAAAGCAUUUUAUGACAUAUGUCCAUACGAAUAUAAAGAUGUAUUAACUUGUUUGUUUAUCCAAUCAUCUGAUAUAUUAGAAGAAGCAGAUAUAAAUAAUACUUUUUAUUAUGAUGAAAUUAUAAAUAAUUAUAAAGACAAUGAAGGGAGUAAUAGUAUUAGUAUAAAUAGUAACGACAACCGUAGCAGUUGUACUGAUAGUUUAUUGGAAGAAGCAAUGUUUAUAACUGAAGAUAAAAAAAAUAUUGAAAAUUCUACCGGUUGUAUUAUAAAAAAAGAAAAUAAUUUGUCUCAUAAAUAUAAAAAAAAUGAGGUUACUGUGAAUAGAAAAAAAAUUAUGUAUGAAGUGGAUGUACAUAUUAAUGACAUAAAAGAAGCAACUGAUCAUAUAAAUGAAAAUAAUUUUAUAAUAGUAUAUAAUUUGCCAAUUAUCAGUUAUGAUUUGUUAAGAGAUGAACUCAAACAGACAUUUUCAUUUUGUGGGCCCAUAAAAAAUAUAGAAUUUUUUAACGAUCGAGUGAAAACAGUUGAUAUGAACGUGUUAGAUGAUGAUGUACCUAUAGGCAUAAAACCUAAAAAUGAUUUGAAUGGUUUGAAAGAAACGAGAGAGUCGUCAAGCAAACAGAAAGGCGGUAUUAAAAGAAAAAAUGAUGGUACAUGUUGUAGUGGAACACGUAAUGAUGGUAAAUAUGAUACUAUGGACAAUAACACAAGUGACAAAACCAAUGAUAAUAAUGUAGCUAAAAAUAAGAGGAAGAAUAAAAAACAUACAAAAAAAUUAAAGAACCUAAACAGUUACACCCAUAUCUAUGGCAUCAUCGAAUUUUAUGAUGAAGAAUCAGCAAACCUAGCUACAAGUGAGUUUUUACGUAUUUUUGGUAUUUUUUGUUAUAAAAAAUUAAUAUACGUUGACAAAUGCGUAAACAAAAACCUUAUGGUAAUAACCCAUUUACCUUUUCAUUUGAAUAUAUACAAUAUUUUAUAUAUGUUAUUAAAUGCUUUUUUAUAUAAACAUAAUAUAUUGAGUAAAACAAGUGAAGAACUUAAAAAUAAAAACGUUGAGAAUAAUAAUUUAUUUGUGAAUAAAGGUGAGGCAACAAAAGAAGGAGAACAAAAAGAGAGUAGUGUCAUGAUGCACUCCGCUUCGAACAAAACAAUGAGUAAAUGCCAAUUUGUUGUAAAAAAUAGUGAUGUUAAAAUUGAAAAUGAUGAGAGUUGUUAUAAAAAUUGGACAACUGAUAAUGAUAAAGAUAUCUAUGACUAUAUAUACGAAAUUUCCAAAAAAAAUUAUAUGAAAUUUAGAAAACAAAAUAGUGUCUUAUUAGAUCAAGUUAGUAAAGAUAAGGCUACUAAUCAAUUGCAUAAUGAUGUUUUCGAAUCAUUUGCUGAUUUUUAUCAAAACCAAAAUAGAAAAGAAGAAAAAGUAAACAUUAAUAAUAACGGUAGGAUAUUAAUUUUGCGUUUUAAUAAUUUUAAGAAUUUAUUUUAUUGCUUAAAAAAGUUUAAAUCUAUUUUUAAAAAUAAAAGUUGUAUGAUUUUUUCACUAAAUUUAAGAAGAUGUGUUUAUAUAAAUGAUGAUAUUAAGGACCAUGUUCAGAUAAAAAAUUGAAGAAAAUGUAUGUACGAUAGAGCUUUAAAAUUUUGCAAUUUCGUACAAAAGAGACCACUUAAAAAAAAAAAAAAAAAAAGAGUCUUGUAAGUUCUAGAAAGGAGAU
rnacentral:lncRNA from 1 species